GGUCAGAACUGGACUAUGGCCUAAAUGGUUAGGGCAAAUGGACUCUGGAUUGAGCGGUACAGGUUCAAGUCCUGGCCCGUGAUCA